GAGUUUGAUCUUGGCUCAGAUUGAACGCUGGCGGCAUGCCUUACACAUGCAAGUCGAACGGUAACAGGUCUUUCGGGAUGCUGACGAGUGGCGAACGGGUGAGUAAUACAUCGGAACGUGCCUAGUAGUGGGGGAUAACUACUCGAAAGAGUGGCUAAUACCGCAUGAGAUCUAUGGAUGAAAAGCAGGGGGACCUUCGGGCCUUGUGCUACUAGAGCGGCCGAUGGCAGAUUAGGUAGUUGGUGGGAUAAAAGCUUACCAAGCCUACGAUCUGUAGCUGGUCUGAGAGGACGAUCAGCCACACUGGGACUGAGACACGGCCCAGACUCCUACGGGAGGCAGCAGUGGGGAAUUUUGGACAAUGGGCGCAAGCCUGAUCCAGCAAUGCCGCGUGCAGGAUGAAGGCCUU
rnacentral:rRNA from 1 species